UGAACGCUAGCGGCAGGCUUAACACAUGCAAGUCGAGGGGCAGCAUGAGACGGAGAUUCGUCAAAGUCUUGAUGGCGACCGGCGCAAGGGUGCGUAACGCGUGAGCAACUUGCCCGUUUCUGGGGAAUAACCGGUGGAAACGCCGACUAAUACCCCCAUGGCAUCAAUGAGAGGCAUCUCUUAUUGAUUAAAGAAUUUCGGAAACGGAUAGGCUCGCGUGACAUUAGGUAGUAGGCGGGGUAACGGCCCACCUAGCCGACGAUCCUUAGGGGUUCUGAGAGGAAGGUCCCCCACACUGGUACUGAGACACGGACCAGACUCCUACGGGAGGCAGCAGUGAGGAAUAUUGGUCAAUGGGCGGAAGCCUGAACCAGCCAAGUAGCGUGAAGGAUUACUGCCCUACGGGUUUAAACUUCUUUUAUGCGAGAGUAAUGUGCGCUACGUGUAGCGUAUUGCAAGUAUCGCAUGAAUAAGCAUCGGCUAACUCCGUG
rnacentral:rRNA from 1 species